ACAAUGGAGAGUUUGAUCCUGGCUCAGGAUUAACGCUAGCGGCAGGCCUAAUACAUGCAAGUCGAACGGCAGCGGGUGUAGCAAUACAUGCCGGCGAGUGGCGCACGGGUGCGUAAC
rnacentral:rRNA from 1 species